AAACAAGACAGUCAUUAACCUAGGACAAAUGAAAAUAUGGGAGGGAAAGCAAGCGUAGUAAGGAUCACGUCUGUUCAGUCUGUCGCUGACACACCUCAAGAAAUCCCCGAUGUGAAAGAGGAGGUUGCAAGCACGUAUGUGAGAGUGUACUGAGAACAUGCUGUCUAUCAAAAUGUCGCCUUGUGUUGCGUCUCUGUCCCUCACGCCCUUUCCUUGAGGAAGAGCCUUGUCUGUAUGAGCUGUGCGAUCAAAGCCUGUGCUGGCAGCUCUCUGCACUGAAACCUGGGACUUCCUGGGGCUGAAAGCCUUGAAUUUUUGCCUCUGGAGCUGCAGAGCCAUUCUGUCCAACUGUAGCUGUUGCACGCCUGUCUGUGCACUGGGUGUACACCUUAAAACCACAUUAGUGGCGCAGACUCUUGCUCGGCUGGCGAACUGGUGUCAAUCUGCUUGCCAGACCCUCAGUUUAGGUCUCAGAAGUCUGGGAAUGAAGCCUAAUCUUCCAGGACUGGAAAGCGGUGAAUGGAGAGGACAGACCGUGGAUCUUCAUCCAGCAUCAACAGAAGGGAAGCAUCAUUUGGGCAGGAGAGUGUCUGGAGGUUGGUGGGAUCAUCUGUGCUCUCCUUUGGUCACAGAAAGAUGGAGAAACGCCAUUAAGCUGAUUUGUUCAGGCAGCCACAUGCAAGAUGGAAACCCAGAAAAAACAAGGAAAUGAGAAGUUGCCAUUCUUAACAGU
rnacentral:lncRNA from 1 species